UCUUCUAAGAAAUAAUAGUAACAGGAAUUAAUUAACGUCUUCUCUAAAGUAUAUCCCGAAUUUCAACUGAAGCGUGACCAGCAACGAACAAGCGCUGUUACAAGUAAUUAGUUAAACAAGGAGAACAGUGUCCAAGCUAAGCAAUUAAUUUGAGAACAUAUCAAAUCACGUGCCUCCGGAAACGUAUAAUUGAACAAAGCAGCGACGUAACAGACUAGUCACGGCACACUGUGUCACACCGAUUCUCAGGGAUCGUUCGAAGGAAGACAGAAAACAGGUAAAACGUAUGCUCUUCGGUAAAACCAGGAAAAUCACGAGAGGACCGUUCAUUAAAGUCUGACUCAUGUUGGUGAUGAUGGUUUUCUAAUAAAUCGCGAACCAUGACGAAAUUAUGGACUGAAUUUUAUCAGCUACGGAGGAAUCCAUCAGGAGCAGCUCGAGGAUGAGGAUUAUCGUGUCAAGGAGCUACGUGAGAUACAUAUGUACAUAUAAACACGUUUGAAUGGACGACCAAGGAUAAAAUGACGUAAUUCGCUUACCGUAGAAAAAAAUUGCAAAGGGUAAAGACGCUCGUUCACCGAACUUAUCGCCUAGAACAGCCAAGAGAUCCGGAACCGUGGAACGCCGAAACGAUGAUGCCUUUUACGGCAUACACUUUUAUGUACUUACACACGCAAUCAGGCCUUCGACUUCACUCUGAUUAGCAAACACCAUUAAUCAAACGCGAUUCCUUUAUCGUUCCUUUUUUUUUCUCCUGUACGUUUACGAGGCGAUCACCGGCGGUGCGAUGAUGGCAUAUUUGCAAACGCACGGAUUUUAAGCGCUAGCCUCCAAUGAUUUAUUGUAAUUUAUGCGAAGUUAACAAUGAACAUCUAUCGUGGGAGAGGUCGUUGUUGUUGAGAAUAACAUCAUAAAGGAGAUUCUUUUUAUUUUCAAACUGAAUGGAAGAUAUUUUGGAGAGUACUGAAUAGGGAUAUGGAACAUGGUGAGAUCAUUUCUUGGUGGCCUUGAGUAGUUAAUUGACUUUGAACUGAGAAUACCUUCUAUUUAAAUUAAAAAAAGAUCAUAUAUAACAUUUAGAAAGUGGAUUAACCCUUUGUCUUAUAACUUCUCUGUUAUCGUUAACUUAAACACUAGGUAAAACUUCAAAUUAGCACCUGAAUUGAAUUAAAAAAGGAAUGCUAUAAUUUCGAAAAGUUUUUCACAGAUUGCAAGGAUGGCGAUUCGCGAGACAAUGGAAACGAGGUCGUAGAAGAAGGACGUUGCAUCGACGACGUAGUAUCUCUCGAUGAAUAUUCACGAGUUGCAGCUGUUUCCGGAUUUUGUUGCGCUCGAAUGUUAUUAAUAUUCACUGUAUCCAUCAUUUUGGAACUGCCGGAUAGAAGAGGCAAUAGUAGGUCCACCAAGUGAUUGAAGGGUGGUGAUUGUACUAAUUCAAUGAUGUCCUCGUUACUGAUUUCCUCCAUCAGGGACGCGAUUUGGCUGGCUAACAUGUUCAGCAAGACGCGCUUUGCCGCUUUGAUUGCCUCCAAUUUCGCCAUUUCAAUGUCUACCAACGUGCUCACUAUUCCACUGUUAGAUCUCUUCAGGUCCCCGAGGACACCGAACGUCGCUUUGGACACCGCCGUCAUGGCAUCUACCAUAGUCUUCUUUUGCAACAAUGCAGAUUCCUGUACUUCGCGUGUAACCACGUGCAAGUCGCUCAGAAAUCUCUCUCCAGUAGAGAGAUCGUUUACGGGUCUGUGGAAGUACUUUUGAGACGCCACCAUCGUCAAGGUGAUCUGCGAGAAAUAAAAUACAGAAUCAAUCCAACGUGUUUGAAGCUUCUGGGAUUAUACGUUCUUGUGGUCUUAGAAAAUGAUUGAAACUUACCAAGAGACAGGCUGUCCUUAAUGUCCACAUAUUCUGGAUUCAAUAGAAACUCGAGUAACGAAAACUCGCGCGUUCACUUAUAUAUAUUACAAGCGGUACUGAUUAUACCCUAAAAUUUUAGCAUUUUUGAAAUGUUUCCUUACGUCUUGAAAUUCCUUGCAAGCUUUCACUUUCGAUACGGUAUUUCUUAUCCGAUUCUUUGAUCGUUAACGAGAAUUUGAAGCUUUCAAGUGAAAUGAAAUUAACACGUUGAACGCCAUGGGGAUUCACCGGUGACCGGCACUGCAAAUUACACAUGCCUGAAUAAUUAAAAGAAAACAAUAGAGUAACAUUAUUUUAAGUAAUACUGUUAUGGUACGCAUAAUGUAAAAUGGCAAAUAGAAAGUUUAAAAUUUGAAAUAUGAAAUCAAUACGUCCUAUAACAAAUGGCCAUUUUCACCGUGGCGUUCAACGUGUUAAUAUACUUCAUCAUUUUCAAUAUUAUAUAUUAAUACAACAUUUAAAGACAAUUCAAGGACCGAGUAUAAAAACAAACACAUAUACAAAAGACCUUAGUCUUGUCCUGUUUUUUCAAAGGACUACGUUUCUAAAAUUCGUGCGCCGUUAUCCUGACCAGAGGUAGAUACGUUUUGCGUUUUUAUUAAUUGCGUCAAUUUCUCCUGGUCGUUAUUUCGAAAAUACGCGUCGUCCAGGACGAAUGCAGUGGUCAUUAGAAUGGACACUCCGGCGAAGAUUACCCACAUGAGCAGCUCUAAUGUGACCUGUUACAUGAAUUAUAAAAAUGUUUAAAACUGGUAGAAGAAAAGAGAAGUAAAAAUUUCUUCUUCGUAGGGUGGUCUGAAGAGAAGAUACUCGUAUGUGAAUAAGAACGAGUUUGAAACGACUGCUGGAAGAUACCCAUUGCCAGAUCAUAAAUGGUAAAAGAACCAUCAGAAGAAGCGUAUCCAGCACAUGCAACACGAUCAACGAUAUGGAAUGCACCACUACCGAUUUCCUACGUGAUUUCUGUCUAAAAUAUCAAGCUCUCCCUUACAUGCUCAUUGAAAUUGCUACUGUCCGCUUGGCUUUUAAUGGUUAAUGGUUGAACCAUGAUUGUGAAGAAAAGUUUAUUAAGAAAUUGUGUUUCUGCCGAUGGAAGGGAAUUAACGUCGAGGGAGUAUGGUUAAUCAGUUUCAUU